GACGAACGCUGGCGGCGUGCCUAAUACAUGCAAGUCGAAAGAGAGGCGGACGGGUGAGUAAUGUAAGGGAAACUGCCUGAUGGAGGGGGAUCACUACAGGAAACGGUAGCUAAUACCGCGUACCAUCAGAUGUGCCCAGAUGGGAUUAGCUUGUUGGUGGGGUAACGGCUCAUCAAGGCGACGAUCCCUAGCUGGUCGGAGAGGAUGGCCAGCCAUGCUGGAAAGGCGACACGGGCCAGACGCAGACGGGUGGACGCGGUGGGGAAUAUUGCACGAUGGGCGCAAUCCUGAGGCAGCCAUGCCUAUUGUAUGAUGAAGGCCUUCGGGUUGUAGAGUACUUUCAGCGGGGAGGCGUUACCCGCAGAAGAAGCACCGGCUAACUCCGGGCCAGCCGCCGCGGUAAUAC
rnacentral:rRNA from 1 species